rnacentral:rRNA from 1 species
AUUGAACGCUGGCGGCAGGCCUAACACAUGCAAGUCGAACGAGUGGCGGACGGGUGAGUAAUGUCUGGGGAACUGCCCGAUGGAGGGGGAUAACUACUGGAAAAGGUAGCUAAUACCACAUACCAUCGGAUGUGCCCAGAUGGGCUUAGCUAGUAGGUGGGGUAACGGCUCACAUAGGCGACGAUCGCUGUCGGGUCUGAGAGGAGUACCAGCCACACUGGAACUGAGACACGGUCCAGACUGCGACGGGAGGCAGCAGUGGGGAAUAUUGCCCAAUGGGCGCAAGCCUGGUGCAGCCAUGCAGCGGGUAUGAAGAAGGCCUUCGGGUUGUAAAGUACUUUCAGCGAGGAGGCGUUACGCGCAGAAGAAGCACCGGCUAACUCCGUGCCAGCAGCCGCGGUAAUAC